rfam:Gorilla gorilla gorilla genomic chromosome, chrX, whole genome shotgun sequence
AUCCUCACCUGUCAGGGGAGAUACCAUGAGCACAAAGGUGGUUUUCCUAGAUUGAGGCUCAUCUAUUGCACCCUGGGUGUGCUGAUACCCCAUAUUUCCACAAACAGGGGAGACUCGACUGCAUAAUUUGUGUACAUAGGGGACUGAGUUUGCACUUUCCCUGA